rnacentral:rRNA from 1 species
UACGUAGGGGGCAAGCGUUGUCCGGAAUUAUUGGGCGUAAAGCGCGCGCAGGCGGCUUUGUAAGUCUGGUGUUUAAACCCGUGGCUCAACCUCGGGUCGCAUCGGAAACUGCAAGGCUUGAGUGCAGAAGAGGAAAGUGGAAUUCCACGUGUAGCGGUGAAAUUCGUAGAUAUUGGGAAGAACACCGGUGGCGAAGGCGGCGACCUGGUCCGAUACUGACGCUGAGGCGCGAAAGCGUGGGGAGCAAACAGG